CCAGGUGCACAUUGGCCAUGGAACCACAGAAGGUGCCUCAGCCUCCCAGAGAGAGCCACAUUCAUUGGGUUCAAGUCAGGGCAAGAGUGCAGGUGAAGCCAGACCUGGGAUGGGGAUCAGUGCUGUGUGUGGACCUGGGCCCGGGUAGGUGUUACCCUCAUCUCAGCUGUGAGGAAACCAUCUCAGAGUGCACGUGCCCAAGGUCAAACGGCUCCUGGGAUGGAGCUGGGAGUCACCCUGCGCUGAUCCAGGCGGAAUGCAGACAUCCGGAGGCCAUUGGGAAAACUGUUUUGUGUGGAAAGCCUUACUCUGCUGGCGGAGGAGGCUGCCUCAGAGUCCGCCCAGCCUGGCCGCUGGCUCCAGGAGCUCCGCUGGGAGCUGCCUCUGAGCCUAACCUGUGUCCACCCCCGCGCCCAGGGAGCCAGCCUCUUCACACUCCCGGCCAUGGAGCAGGCCCUACGGCUUUGGAAGGGGACGUGGAGCCCCCAAAACAGAGGUUCCAUUAACCCCCCAGGCGAAACCAGUCAGUCUCUGGCUAAAGCACAGCUGGGGUGUUUCAGAUUAAACCGGAGUCUUCUUUGUGAAAAGGAAAUGACAGAAGAGAGAGGCCCGGGGGUGCUAAUUCAGCUUCUCAACUGACCGCUGAGCCCUGGGAGAAGCACUGCUGGGGACAGGAAUGAUGCUUUGUGCCUUUUUCAGAAAUAGCUUUUAAAUGAGUGAGGCAUACAAUAGAAUUUCAAACAUUAAUUAUCAUUUGGGGAUGCUAUGUAGGUGCCAGUAACUGUUUUAAAUGCUUCAAAUGAAUUAGCCUGGUGAGUCCUCACAAUAGCUCUAGGAAAUAGAUAUUACUAGCCCACCUUACCAAUGUAGAAACUGGGGCACAGAGAGGGAAGUGACUCGCCCAAGGUCACGCAGCUGGUAAGUGGCAGAGCAAGGGUUCAAGGAGAGCAGGCUACUCUUUUGACCAGGACCUCACAGGGCAGGUAUGAGCCUGACGCUCCCAACCCCAGGCCUCGGCCCUCAGUGCCCCAUCCUCUGUGGGUGUCUGCAAGGGAAGAUAAGCGUCCAUGGUCUCUCACUGCGGGGGAGGGACACCUGGGAUCUGGCCCUCACCUCGAGGACUCCCCUUGU